rnacentral:rRNA from 1 species
GACGAACGCUGGCGGCGUGCUUAACACAUGCAAGUCGAACGGAAAGGCCCCUUUGGGGGUACUCGAGUGGCGAACGGGUGAGUAACACGUGAGUAACCUGCCCUUGACUUCGGGAUAACUUCAGGAAACUGGGGCUAAUACCGGAUAGGAAUCCUUGCUGCAUGGUGGGGGUUGGAAAGCUUCGGCGGUUUUGGAUGGACUCGCGGCUUAUCAGCUUGUUGGUGGGGUAGUGGCUUACCAAGGCUUUGACGGGUAGCCGGCCUGAGAGGGCGACCGGCCACAGUGGGAAUGAGAGAAGACCGGGACUCCUCCGGGAGGCAGCAGUGGGGAUGGUUGCACAAUGGGCGGAAGCCUGAGCCAGCAACGACGGGGGCGGGAUGAGGGCCGGCGGGUAGUAAACCGCUUACAGCAGGGGCAAUGCGUGUGGUGAGGGGACCUGCAGAAGAAUACCGCGCACACCACACC